ACUAGACUCCACCUACUACUGACAGGUGUUAUGACGUAUUGUUGACAGCCGUUAUGGCGGAAAGUUUGGAACGGUUUGUAUCCUUCGAAUUGUAAUUCAUCUUAUAAUUCGGAAUGGAUUUGACUGAAAUCGAAGACAGAACUUUACCUCCUAUAAAUAUGGAGCUUAGUGCUAAUAACUCUCAAGUAUCCAUGGAAAUUACAUCUGAUAGUGUGGAUGGAUUAUCUGGAGUGGGAUGUAAGACUGGUUAUAUAUCUCCAUUAAGAGCUCGCACAAUGAAGGAAUAUGAACAGGUG